GAAGAAUUUUCUUGCUGUGGCUCCCGGAGUAACUGAAGUGCAUGUUUUCAUUGCAACACAUACUGUGCAUUCCUUUCUUGAAGCUGUAGCAGUUGCCUUACAGUGUGCCUAAGACUCCAAGGGAAGAUAAAGAGCCUACAUUAUAAGUUGGAUGGAGAGAACUCACAACAUUAUUGCUAUUACUGCAGCAGGCAGCAAAAUUAAGAUCUGAGAGAUUUUCAACAUAUAACCUCCAAUUCUGCUUCCCAUGAGUAUUUCAUGCAGGUUACAUUGAAACUGAAAAAAGAAGGGCAGGGUGAAUGUGACUUUAUGCAAAUCUGUUGAGAAUGUGGAAUAAGUAUUCACAAAAAGGCUUUUUAUGCCUUACUUAUUCCUCCUUAGUUAAAUAUAUGACACACAUCAACUAUGGCAGGUAAAUGUGCACCUACAGAAAGAAAUCUGGUGAGAAUAUGAUAAAGGUCUUGCUUGGCUGAAACAGAAAUUACCAGUAGACUUGGGUGCACAAGUUAGUCUUGUGAUGAUGAUGAUGAUGAUGAUUCACUUGGGGGAACUGUGAGGGGUUUGUAAAAUGACUUACAUAAAUUUGUAGUUAUUGCAUAAAUGCAAAUAUUUAGAUGGAGUGUUCACAGUAGUUUGCCACAAUAGGGAAAAGCAGUCAUAGGGGAAGGGUUUUUUUCCAUCUCACUUAUGUACGUAACCGUUGUCCAAGACACUCUGUACACUCCAUGGAGAGAUACAGACACUUUAAGGAAGUGAUUCAUCUCAGUUUUAGACAUCUAAAAUAAGGCAGAUGGAACAGUCUAUCUCUCUUCACAGAAGAACUUUUAGUCUGAAUUGCAUCCUAACAAGCAGGCCACUGGUUGGAGAAUAUUACCACAUGCAGGCAAACACAGAUCAUGUCUCAGCACCCUGCCACCAGUAUGGUCAAAUAUUAAGUGAUAGUGUCUGUCCAUAUAGCAAAUUCUUUUUCAGCUGCAGUAGAAAUAUCUGGUGAAUCAAUCAUAAUUGUGCUUAAAUGUGUAGUCAAAUAUACACAACGCAGAACACACUGUUCCAGUCAAUCAGGAAUUAACCCCCACCAUGCAGAAAAGUUUCAGUUUGCAUUUGUGAAGUUUGUAUUAAGGAAGAACAAUGCUGGUGUGACUGUAAAUUCAGAAUUCUUUUCCCCAGAAUAAUUGAGUUUGGUUUGGAUUUGAUUUUGCAAAGAUGCAGAGCAUUUUCUGGAUGUACAUUUCCCUGACUUCUUGGAAGAGAAGGACACGGUGCCUCAUGAGAUCAAGUCCUCACACCAUGCAGGAUGCCUGUAUCUGAACUGCUGUGCUCCUUAGAUGUGUCACAUUUUGAAAUGCCCUGCAAAACUAUCACUUACCUUCCACUACUGCUGCCAGAUGCCAGACAAAAUGAGUCAGGUGUCUAAGACUGGCUGAUUGGCCAAGCUCUAUCUAUAAUUGAUGGAGACAAGCACUUUGGAAGGGAGAUUCAGCUGGUCUAUGGAGAUUGUGAAUCACAUUGCCUCUCUCUUGCCCCUAGUUACUUCUUGGCACCCUUCUUGGCACACCACCUUUUGUGGCACCUUUCAGUUGCACUGAUACUGCUCUUUGUGUCUGUGGCAUUAAUUAAAAAGCUUAAAUUAUCUGGGAUUAAAAAAAAACAAACACAAAAAACCAAAACAAAAACUAAAACCCAAGCACUGUUCCACAUACUACCAGUUAAAAGGAAAUCUAUUCCCUGCCUGUACCUUAUUGUGUGUUGGUGUAGAAUUUUAUGAAAAUCAAUCAAUUUUUAAAACAGCAAUGGCAAUCUAUCCAGGGAACUAAUUUAAAUAAAAAAUGUGCUUUUGUUGUGUCUUCUGUGCUUUUG